rnacentral:tRNA from 1 species
GGAGAGCUGGCCGAGCGGUCCAAGGCGGCGGUUUGCUACACCGCAGCAGGGGUGCCAACCUCUGCCGAGGGUUCGAAUCCCUCGCUCUCCUCCA